GUGACGGGCAGCGGUUUUCACCACCCUCCUGUUGCCACCUGGGGAUUCCCUGGAUGAAGCCCAGGUAGUCCCAGUAAAGGAAGGAGAAUGGCCCUGUUCCCUGUGUGCAGGAGGAGAGAAGAGCGUGAACCCGUGGGGAGCCUCCUUGACAGUUCCUUCUGAGGUGGCAGUGGAGAAACUUCCCACUGUUUCUCCUUUGAACCCAGCUGGACACCACCCUGAAGUUCCAGUACAUGGAGAUAGCCAGUAAAUGAACAAUUGAUGACCUGUGUUGAAGAGAGAGGGCAUGUUGCCUAGGGGUAAUGGCCACCAGCAAACACAACCCUCUGGAUGAAAGACUGUUGAUCAUCUCAGUCCGUGGAACAGAACAGGGGGUCUGUGGGUGGUGGACACCAGAAGCAUAGGGCCUGGAACAUUAGUGAACAGACAUAACAACUGAUGGCCACUAAGGACAUUUCCUGGCUCUGGCUCCUCUGCCCUUAAGAAUCCGGACAGUCCAUGAGCACUGUUACGGGCCAUCUCUUAGCUGAAGAAGUCAACUGGGCAUUACCCUCCACUGGAACAUGAACUUCCAGAUGCAAGGAGUGCAGUCAGUUCAUCUGAGAAUGUAUAUCCGCCUGCCCAGAGGCAGGGAGAAGAUGGCAAGGUGCUAUCCUCUCCAGGAUUCAGCUCUGAAGCCUCUUAACUGUGCACUUAAUAAAUGAAGCCUUGGCAGACACACCUUGAAUUAUUAAUGAAGUUAUUCAGCUUUGAUUGUUUCCUUCUUUUGGGGAAAGGUUAUUCACUCAAAUGCCUUUGAUUAGACUACACAAUACAUCACAAUUGGGCAUAUUUUAUGUGCAACUUUAUGGCGAUAAUAGUUCUGUCUCAUUUAGAAGCAAAUCAGACAUUAUGAACUUCGUGAUUUAUUAAUGUAUUGAUUUCUAUAAAUGUCAGCGCAUCUCACAUCCUGCCAGAGAGCCCGGGAGCAAUCAGUGAAAGGCCAAUAAAAAUGUAAAAUGAAACCAUCAUAAAAAGAGGAAAUACUGCCUGUUUCCAAGCCCUGCUGCCUCUCUAUAUUGUCUCAGGGUCUACAUCAUUACCAUGAAGGCAUCCCCCCACCUACAAGGAAACAGCCUUGAUGGUGGGGGAGGGGGCUCUAUCCUGCUUAAAUCUAUUUUAAAUAAAAAGAAGGUUGUAUGGCAGGAGAAAUAAAAAACAAGAGGUGAAGAGUGGGACCUGGAGGGGCCCCAGGGCUAGUGCCUAGAUUCCUCACCCUGGAGAAAGCAGGAGGAGGAGGAGGAAUCCCUUUCCAUCAGAUUCACCCCACAACAACCCCCCACCUUCCUGCUGAGGAACCUUCAAGACAGAGCCUAGAUUUUCCUGCUGGCGCUGAAGAGUCCACGCUAGGGCCCUGGUCUACCUUUCCAGACGAUUCCCCAAUUCUGAGCCCAGUACAUUUCAGCCUUAUACUUUACAGAGUACUUUCACAUUGCUUAACCCCUGUGAGGUAUGCAUAAUAUUAUUCUCAUUUUACCGAAGAGAAGACGGAGGCUCAGAGAAGAAAGAGAAAAGGUGACACUUCUGAGCACUGCCUAUUUGCAGAGCACUGUGACAUGUACUUUGCUUACAUGAUCUCACUUAAUUCUCUCAUAGCUUUAAUUGUUGAUUUCUUAUUAGCUAAUUAUUGUUCCUAUUUUAUUAGGAGAAAUUGAAUCAGCAAUUUCAGGAGGCAUCCUUGGGGUCACAGAGAC
rnacentral:lncRNA from 10 species